GAUGAACGCUGGCGGCGUGCCUAAUACAUGCAAGUCGAGCGAACGGACGAGAAGCUUGCUUCUCCGAUGUUAUCGGCGGACGGGAGAGUAACACGUGGAUAACCUACCUAUAAGACUGGGAUAACUUCGGGAAACCGGAGCUAAUACCGGAUAAUAUUUUGAACCGAAUGGUUCAAAAGUGAAAGACGGUCUUGCUGUCACUUAUAGAUGGAUCCGCGCUGCAUUAGCUAGUUGGUAAGGUAACGGCUUACCAAGACAACGAUGGAUAGCAGACCUGAGAGGGUGGUCGGCCACAGUGGAUCUACGACACGGUCCACACUCCUACGAGAAGAAGCAGUCGGGUAUCCUCCGCGCUGGGCGAAUGCCUAACGCCGCACCGCCGCGUCAAUAGUGAGGGUCCUAGGAUCGUCGACCUCUGUUAUUACGAGCGAAAACAUAUGUACGUAACUGUACACAUCUUGACGGCACCUAAACAGAACGCCACGGCUAACUUCGUG
rnacentral:rRNA from 1 species